GAUGAACGCUGGCGGCGUGCCUAAUACAUGCAAGUCGAGCGAACAGACAAGGAGCUUGCUCCUUUGACGUUAGCGGCGGACGGGUGAGUAACACGUGGGUAACCUACCUAUAAGACUGGGAUAACUUCGGGAAACCGGAGCUAAUACCGGAUAAUAUUUCGAACCGCAUGGUUCGAUAGUGAAAGAUGGUUUUGCUAUCACUUAUAGAUGGACCCGUGCCGUAUUAGCUAGUUGGUAAGGUAACGGCUUACCAAGGCGACGAUACGUAGCCGACCUGAGAGGGUGAUCGGCCACACUGGAACUGAGACACGGUCCAGACUCCUACGGGAGGCAGCAGUAGGGAAUCUUCCGCAAUGGGCGAAAGCCUGACGGAGCAACGCCGCGUGAGUGAUGAAGGUCUUCGGAUCGUAAAACUCUGUUAUUAGGGAAGAACAUACGUGUAAGUAACUAUGCACGUCUUGACGGUACCUAAUCAGAAAGCCACGGCUAACUACGUGCCAGCAGCCGCGGUAAUACGUAGGUGGCAAGCGUUAUCCGGAAUUAUUGGGCGUAAAGCGCGCGUANGCGGUUUUUUAAGUCUGAUGUGAAAGCCCACGGCUCAACCGUGGAGGGUCAUUGGAAACUGGAAAACUUGAGUGCAGAAGAGGAAAGUGGAAUUCCAUGUGUAGCGGUGAAAUGCGCAGAGAUAUGGAGGAACACCAGUGGCGAAGGCGACUUUCUGGUCUGUAAUUGACGCUGAUGUGCGAAAGCGUGGGGAUCAAACAGGAUUAGAUACCCUGGUAGUCCACGCCGUAAACGAUGAGUGCUAAGUGUUAGGGGGUUUCCGCCCCUUAGUGCUGCAGCUAACGCAUUAAGCACUCCGCCUGGGGAGUACGACCGCAAGGUUGAAACUCAAAGGAAUUGACGGGGACCCGCACAAGCGGUGGAGCAUGUGGUUUAAUUCGAAGCAACGCGAAGAACCUUACCAAAUCUUGACAUCCUUUGACAACUCUAGAGAUAGAGCCUUCCCCUUCGGGGGACAAAGUGACAGGUGGUGCAUGGUUGUCGUCAGCUCGUGUCGUGAGAUGUUGGGUUAAGUCCCGCAACGAGCGCAACCCUUAAGCUUAGUUGCCAUCAUUAAGUUGGGCACUCUAAGUUGACUGCCGGUGACAAACCGGAGGAAGGUGGGGAUGACGUCAAAUCAUCAUGCCCCUUAUGAUUUGGGCUACACACGUGCUACAAUGGACAAUACAAAGGGCAGCGAAACCGCGAGGUCAAGCAAAUCCCAUAAAGUUGUUCUCAGUUCGGAUUGUAGUCUGCAACUCGACUACAUGAAGCUGGAAUCGCUAGUAAUCGUAGAUCAGCAUGCUACGGUGAAUACGUUCCCGGGUCU
rnacentral:rRNA from 1 species